AUUGAACGCUGGCGGCAGGCCUAACACAUGCAAGUCGAACGGUAACAGGAAACAACUUGCUGUUUCGCUGACGAGUGGCGGACGGGUGAGUAAUGUCUGGGAAACUGCCUGAUGGAGGGGGAUAACUACUGGAAACGGUAGCUAAUACCGCAUAACGUCGCAAGACCAAAGAGGGGGACCUUCGGGCCUCUUGCCAUCGGAUGUGCCCAGAUGGGAUUAGCUAGUAGGUGGGGUAACGGCUCACCUAGGCGACGAUCCCUAGCUGGUCUGAGAGGAUGACCAGCCACACUGGAACUGGGACACGGUCCAGACUCCUACGGGAGGCAGCAGAGGGAAAUAUUGCACAAUGGGCGCAAGCCUGAUGCAGCCAUGCCGCGGGUAUGAAGAAGGCCUUCGGGUUGUAAAGUACUUUCAGCGGGGAUGAAGGGAGUAAAGGUAAUACCUUUGCUCAUGGACGUUACCCGCAGAAGAAGCACCGGCUAACUCCGU
rnacentral:rRNA from 1 species